CACGUAGGGGGCGAGCGUUGUCCGGAUUCAUUGGGCGUAAAGGGCGCGCAGGCGGCCCGGAAAGUCGGAUGUGAAAACUCGGGGCUCAACCCCGAGCGUGCACCCGAUACUGCCGGGCUUGAGGCAGGUAGGGGAGAUCGGAAUUCCUGGUGUAGCGGUGAAAUGCGCGGAUAUCAGGAGGAACACCGGUGGCGAAGGCGGAUCUCUGGGCCUGUCCUGACGCUGAGGCGCGAAAGCUAGGGGAGCGAACAGG
rnacentral:rRNA from 1 species